GCUUUCCUGUGGCUCACUUCGAAGAGCAUUGUGUUAACAACACAAAGGUCAUCAGAUCAAAUCCCAGGGAAAGCA